CACAAAGUGAAAUUUGGGUGGAGACAGAAAAAGAGAUUUGGGUGGGGACACAAAGCCUAACCGUAUGUCCAACUCCUGAGUUCAAGCGAUCCUCCCACUAGUCCUCCCACAGUGCUGGGAUCACAGGCAUGGGCCCUGUGCCUGGCCGGGACAGCCAGGUUCUUACUUCCUUUCUGUGUUUUCCUCUCCCACACAGGAAGAAAACAGGCAGAUUUUGGCGCGGCAGAAGUCAAACUCACAGUCGGACUCCCAUGAUGAGGAGGUGUCGCCCACCCCCCCGAACCCUGUGGUGAAGGCCCGCCGCCGGCGAGGAGGCGUGAGUGCCGAGGUGUACACCGAGGAGGACGCCGUGUCCUACGUCAGGAAGGUGAUUCCCAAGGACUACAAAACCAUGACUGCGCUGGCCAAGGCCAUCUCCAAGAACGUGCUCUUCGCUCACCUGGAUGACAACGAGAGGAGGUA
rnacentral:lncRNA from 1 species